AUCCCCACCGGCGGUCCCUUUUCCCCCUGGCAUCUUCCUCACUUUGGGACGCUUUGCCUCUGGAAACCGGGAGGAUACUGGAGAAAGGCCCCUGGCACUGCAUUGCAGACCCAGCUCAAGAACCGCUGGGCGCUGCUGCUGCUGCUGCUGCUGCAGAUUGUUUUCCCAGAGCUGCCCCCAGGGGAGGCGUCUGUCUUCUUGGGGGGUCUGCCAGUCGCUGGAGAGGGGGGUUGUGCUCUCCCGAAACAGCGGGAGAGGAGGUUCACGGAGCAGGGUCAGGUGAAGAAUUGCCGCUGCGCUUCCCUGCCCUGAGAAAAGAGGCGGUCUCUGGCCAGAGACCCUAAGAACCACUCUGUAACCACUGUCCUUAAAAACGUGUGUGUGUAUACACACACACACUCUCUC